CGGCCCGGGCUGCUGCUGUUCCU
rnacentral:miRNA from 1 species